AUUGAACGCUGGCGGCAGGCCUAACACAUGCAAGUCGAACGAGUGGCGGACGGGUGAGUAAUGUCUGGGAAACUGCCCGAUGGAGGGGGAUAACUACUGGAACCGGUAGCUAAUACCGCAUACCAUCGGAUGUGCCCAGAUGGGAUUAGCUUGUAGGUGAGGUAACGGCUCACCUAGGCGACGAUCCCUAGCUGGUCUGAGAGGAUGACCAGACACACUGGAACUGAGACACGGUGCAGACGCCUACGGGAGGAAGCAGUGGGGAAUAUUGCACAAUUGGUGUAAGACUGAUGCAGCCAUGCCGCGGGUAUGAAGAAGGCCUUCGGGUUGUAAAGUACUGUCAGCGGGGAGGCGUUACCCGCAGAAGAAGCACCGGCUAACUCCGUGCCAGCAGCCGCGGUAAUAC
rnacentral:rRNA from 1 species